CUCUCAGUUCGGAUCGAAGUCUGCAACCCGACUUCGUGAAGCUGGAUUCGCUAGUAAUCGCGCAUCAGCCAUGCGCGGUGAAUACGUUCCCGGGCCUUGUACACACCGCCCGUCAAGCCAUGAAAGCCGGGGGUACCUGAAGUACGUAACCGCAAGGAGCGUCCUAGGGUAAAACUGGUAAUUGGGGCUAAGUCGUAACAAGGUAAC
rnacentral:rRNA from 1 species